rnacentral:rRNA from 1 species
GUAGGUGGCAAGCGUUGUCCGGAAUUAUUGGGCGUAAAGCGCGCGCAGGCGGUUUUUAAGUCUGAUGUGAAAGCCCACGGCUCAACCGUGGAGGGUCAUUGGAAACUGGAGAACUUGAGUACAGAAGAGGAAAGCGGAAUUCCACGUGUAGCGGUGAAAUGCGUAGAGAUGUGGAGGAACACCAGUGGCGAAGGCGGCUUUCUGGUCUGUAACUGACGCUGAGGCGCGGAAGCGUGGGGAGCAAACAGGGAUUAGAUACCCUGGUAGUCCACGCCGUAAACGAUGAGUGCUAAGUGUUAGGGGGUUUCCCGCCCCUUAGUGCUGCAGCUAACGCAUUAAGCACUCCGCCUGGGGAGUACGGCCGCAAGGCUG